rnacentral:rRNA from 1 species
AUUGAACGCUGGCGGCAGGCCUAACACAUGCAAGUCGAACGAGUGGCGGACGGGUGAGUAAUGUCUGGGCAACUGCCUGAUGGAGGGGGAUAACUACUGGAAACGGUAGCCAAUACCGCAUACCAUCGGAUGUGCCCAGAUGGGGUGAGCUAGGAGGUGGGGUAAAGGAUCACCUAGGCGACGAUCCCUAGCUGGUCUGAGAGGAUGACCAGCCACACAGGAACUGAGCCACGGUCCAGACUCCAACGGGCGGCAGCAGUGGGGAAUAGUGCACAAGGGGCGCAAGCCUGAUGCAGCCAUGCCGCGUGUAUGAAGAAGGCCUUCGGGUUGUAAGGUACUUUCGGCGGGGAGGCGUUACGCGCAGAAGAAGCACCGGCUAACUCCGUGCCAGCGGCCGCGGUAAUAC